CUCGUUCUCCGGGCCUUUCCUUUCCUUCCCUUCCCGUCCCUUCCCAAGAGGAAGGGGGGGCGGGAAUAGAAAGGCCUGGGUGUUGGGUACGCCGUCCUCGCGUGUCCCCACGGAGGACGGGCCCGAAACGCAGUGGCGGUGCCGAUUCCGGUCCCUGGAGCAUAUAUGGGGCGUUGUCACCUGCUCGAGGGGGGGCCGGAUCCGGUCGCUGGCCUGGAAGUUCAAUGAAUCUGA
rnacentral:misc_RNA from 1 species